rnacentral:rRNA from 1 species
GAGUUUGAUCAUGGCUCAGAACGAACGCUGGCGGCAGGCUUAACACAUGCAAGUCGAACGCCCCGCAAGGGGAGUGGCAGACGGGUGAGUAACGCGUGGGAAUCUACCCAGAUCUUCGGAACAACUGAGGGAAACUUCAGCUAAUACCGGAUACGCCCUACGGGGGAAAGAUUUAUCGGUUCUGGAUGAGCCCGCGUUGGAUUAGCUAGUUGGUGAGGUAACGGCUCACCAAGGCGACGAUCCAUAGCUGGUCUGAGAGGAUGAUCAGCCACACUGGGACUGAGACACGGCCCAGACUCCUACGGGAGGCAGCAGUGGGGAAUAUUGGACAAUGGGCGAAAGCCUGAUCCAGCCAUGCCGCGUGAGUGAUGAAGGCCUUAGGGUUGUAAAGCUCUUUCAGU